AUUGAACGCUGGCGGCAGGCUUAACACAUGCAAGUCGAGCGAGCGGCGGACGGGUGAGUAAUGUCUGGGAAACUGCCUGAUGGAGGGGGAUAACUACUGGAAACGGUAGCUAAUACCGCAUACUAUCGGAUGAACCCAUAUGGGAUUAGCUAGUUGGUGAGGUAAUGGCUCACCAAGGCGACGAUCCCUAGCUGGUCUGAGAGGAUGAUCAGCCACACGGGGACUGAGACACGGCCCAGACUCCUACGGGAGGCAGCAGUGGGGAAUAUUGCACAAUGGGCGCAAGCCUGAUGCAGCCAUGCCGCGUGUAUGAAGAAGGCCUUCGGGUUGUAAAGUACUUUCAGCGAGGAGGCGUUACUCGCAGAAGAAGCACCGGCUAACUCCGUGCCAGCAGCCGCGGUAAUAC
rnacentral:rRNA from 1 species